GCUCUGCAAGGUUGGGAUCACGUGGCGAGUUUUUUUCCGCUAAGAUGUUGGUUGUGAAUCUCUUUGCUUUAGUGGCGAUAAAUCAGCAUUCAAUGAUGUCAUGUAAAGAUGAGGUGAUGAGUUUGAUAUUUUAUUUCUUAGAAUCUGUGUUUUGAGCAUUUUUAAUUUUUCAUGGGAAAAAGAAUUUGGGGCGAAUAAUAUGUGUACCUGAAACCAGAUCAACUUUCUGUUUAUUCUUACACUGGUAAUCAAAAUUCUUGCCUUUUCUAAAUUUUGGGUUCAUCAUUUACUGCCUUCAAUAGUAGCAUGACUUACUCUAUUUUUCUUUUCCCAAUUCAUAAUUUUUUUUUUGUUUCCUCAUUAAUGCAUGAUGCAGUUUCUUUUCAACCAGAUUAUGGUAAGAAAUUUACGAAUGUCAAUCGAUAUUAUUUCCAAGAUUUAGUUUUUGCCUUCUUCAGAAGAUAAAUAUGGCUACCAUAAAUUGAUAUUAUUUCCAAUAAAUCAUCUUCUAUUUAUGGAAUUUCCGGGCUUAGUCGAAUUCUAUAUAAAGCACCCGCACAAAGAUGAUGGUGAUAUAUCCUCGUAGCGAAGGAUGAAGCGAUGAACUUUUAUCUUUCAUAGUUUACAGUUUUUCCUUAAACAUCUUCUAUUACGCAAUCGUAGUUUUUUUUUUAUUCCUUUAUUCCUUUUAUUGUUUAGUAUUUUUGUUCCUUUUAAUUUAUAUUUGGUUUUGUUUUGCAGUUGAUCGUAAUCGUUCCUCAUAGUCAAUAUUGAAACAAUAAAAUUAAAUCUGGACGUUUACUUUCGUACAAGUGUAUAGGUGAGUACGUUCAAAAGUGUUUCAUGGGAAACUGGAAAGUGUUUAUGGGAAUCCUGAUCAAUUUCUGCAAGAGGUAUGCUCAAGCUUUUCAUGGGAAGAUCGAAAGUUCUUAUGGGAAUCCUGAUAAAUUUCCGCAAGGAUUUGGAUUAUCUGUGUUUUCUUAGGUUUAGGAGCAGGAGAUUGUCAAGAAGGUUUUUAAGAUCAAGAAACAAAAGGAGAAUGUUGGAAAUAGAUAGAUUUGUAAAAACUUUUUUGUGUUAUAUUGGAUGAAAGAAAUUUUGACUUUCAAGUAGAUAACAAAUGCGUGUUUUCA